AGGGUUUGAUCAUGGCUCAGGACGAACGCUGGCGGCAUGCCUAACACAUGCAAGUCGAACGAGAAAGUUCCUUCGGGAGCAAUUAAAGUGGCGCACGGGUGAGUAACGCGUAGACAAUCUGCCCUUCAGUCUGGGACAACUUUUCGAAAGGAGAGCUAAUACCGGAUAACAAUGUUUAACAUAAGUUAAGUAUUUGAAAGCUUUAUGUGCUGAAGGAGGGGUCUGCGUCCCAUUAGCUAGUUGGUAGGGUAAAGGCUUACCAAGGCAACGAUGGGUAGCGGGUUUGAGAGGACGAUCCGCCACACUGGAACUGAGACACGGUCCAGACUCCUACGGGAGGCAGCAGUGGGGAAUAUUGCACAAUGGAGGCAACUCUGAUGCAGCAAUGUCGCGUGAGUGAAGAAGGCCCUUGGGUCGUAAAGCUCUUUUAUGGGGGAAGAUGAUGACGGUACCCCAGGAAUAAGCACCGGCUAACUAUGUGCCAGCAGCCGCGGUAAUACAUAGGGUGCGAGCGUUGUUCGGAAUUACUGGGCGUAAAGGGCGCGCAGGCGGAAUAGUAAGUCGGAGGUGAAAGCCCGGGGCUCAACCCCGGAGGGUCUUUCGAAACUGCUAAUCUAGAGAGGGUCAGGGGCCGGCAGA
rnacentral:rRNA from 1 species